rnacentral:rRNA from 1 species
AGUGAACGCUGGCAGCAUGCUUAACACAUGCAAGUCGCGCGCCUCGCAAGGGGAGCGGCGGACGGGUGAGUAACGCGUAGGAAUGUGUCCAGAGGUGGGGGACAACCCCGGGAAACUGGGGCUAAUACCGCAUAUGUCCUGAGGGACAAAGCAGUAAUGCGCCUUUGGAGCAGCCUGCGUCCGAUUAGGUAGUUGGUGGGGUAAUGGCCUACCAAGCCUGCGAUCGGUAGCUGGUCUGAGAGGAUGAUCAGCCACACUGGGACUGAGACACGGCCCAGACUCCUACGAGAGGCAGCAGUGGGGAAUAUUGGACAAUGGGCGCAAGCCUGAUCCAGCAAUGCCGCGUGGGUGAAGAAGGUCUUCGGAUCGUAAAGCCCUUUCGACAGGGACGAUGAUGACGGUACCUGUAGAAGAAGCCCCGGCUAACUUCGUGCCAGCAGCCGCCGUAA